rnacentral:lncRNA from 1 species
UUCUUAUUCUAGCUAUUUCUCUGUUGAUGUGAUCAACACUAUGACCAAAAGCAACUUGAGAAAAGGGUUUACUUUAUUUUCCAGUUACAGUCCAUCAUCAAGGGAACCCAAGGAAGGAACUUGAAGGAGAACCUGAAUAAAUGUCACAUGCAACAGAUCUCAGAGAGGUUAAGGAACCCCAAUCUGUGAAAUAUAGAAAGGAGCACUGAUUACUGACUUGUCCUCUGGCUCAUGUUUGUCUACCUUUCUUAAAGAGUCCAGGUCCAUUUGCUUAAGUGCUGAGGCAUCUACAGGAUAUUGGUUCCUCCUCCCAUCGAUUAGCAAUUAAAACAGUGCUCAACAGACACACACAAAGGCCAAUCCAAUGGAGGCAGUUCCCAGGUGUGCCAUGUGCCAUGUUAACAAUAGGUCAGCACCAGUUAAGGAAGCAGUUUACAUGGCUCUGUGAAGAAAACAGGCUGGGGACAAGGUGACAAGAUGCUUCUUUGGCUUUGCUUUCCUGAUGAUGACAUUGAUUUAUGACGGUGCCUACAGCCAGGCCUG